rnacentral:rRNA from 1 species
GACGAACGCUGGCGGCGUGCUUAACACAUGCAAGUCGAACGGAAAGGCCCUGCUUUUGUGGGGUGCUCGAGUGGCGAACGGGUGAGUAACACGUGAGUAACCUGCCCUUGACUUUGGGAUAACUUCAGGAAACUGGGGCUAAUACCGGAUAGGAGCUCCUGCUGCAUGGUGGGGGUUGGAAAGUUUCGGCGGUUGGGGAUGGACUCGCGGCUUAUCAGCUUGUUGGUGGGGUAGUGGCUUACCAAGGCUUUGACGGGUAGCCGGCCUGAGAGGGUGACCGGCCACAUUGGGACUGAGAUACGGCACAGACUCCUACGGGAGGCAGCAGUGGGGAAUAUUGCACAAUGGGCGGAAGCCUGGUGCAGCAACGCCGCGUGCGGGAUGACGGCCUUCGGGUUGUAAACCGCUUUCGCCUGUGACGAAGCGUGAGUGACGGUAAUGGAUAAAGAAGCACCGGCUAACUACGUG